GCAAAGAACAAGUGGCGCGCUCCAGCGAUUUUCUCGAUGGGCAACUGACCUUUCGUGAGCGCCUGUUGAUGCGCCAUCACCUGAUGUUUUGUGCCAAUUGCCGGCGCUUCAUUCGCCAGAUGCGCCUGAUGCAGGCCACCUUGCGCCUCCUGCCCGAACCGCCGGUGAGCGAUGCCGAGGCGUUGGCUGAACGCCUGGCUUCGGAGCGUAAACGCAACUCCUGACCCCAGAGCUGUCUGCGCUUCCCAAGGCCUGCGACGUCAUCGUCGUGGGCUUUU
rnacentral:sRNA from 1 species